GUUGAACUUUGUUGGUUCAAACACGCGUGGAUCCAUAAAAUAAGGAUCGUCGAUAAGAACGCAGGAGAGAUCCGAAUGUCCUGGACCAAAAUCGGAGAUAUGAAAAGAGGCGUCAAGAUUUUGCACGAUUUGCACGCUACGAUUAAACGACCAAUGUCGAGAAAUUCAGCGGGAAAUCUUAUCGAAACGAUUAGAAAUAGAAAUUGGCAAAUUCUUGAUCGAGAUAUCGUCGAACGAGACAAAAUUGUAGACACGAUUUUAAAGUAUACGGAGAUCACUAACGAUCACAUGACUCCUGAUUUAAAGCUUUUUCUUUUGAC
rnacentral:lncRNA from 1 species